rnacentral:lncRNA from 1 species
GCCAGACUUUCUUUCUGGAAUUUUCCUCCAUGCUCCGUGACCUGAUCAAGGGUUAAAGAGGAUUCCAUAUCCCACACUACAUUAGAGAAGAGUGACAGCAUAUCAGAGAGAGGCAUUGUGGACCUGUGUUUAAGUCAGCCUGUCUGAAUCCACAUCCUGGCUCCAUCCUUCUUUACUAGGCUGAUGGAGGUUUUGCCAGCUUGAACAUGUAGUUUCCAAAAUGACUCUGGUUAUCAAUAUCCAUCCAGUAGAAGGAGAAAGAGGAAGAAGAUUGUGUGGUAGAAGACUGAAUGAGCCAGUCCUGGAGUCCCUACUACUCAUACUCCAUUGGCCGGAACUCAGUCACAUGGCCACAUCUGACCAUGAGGCAGUCUGGGAAAUGGAUUCCAGCUGUGUUCCAAUGAGGAAGCAGGCGAUUUGCCACGAGAAGGACAUGGCCUGGUGGCUACUGCACCUUCAGCUUCCGCACACAUAAAUACAUAUGGAACACACCGGACCUAGUCUCCAGCCUGGAGCCAUGCCUACAGCAUGGCUGAAGCAUGAAGCAGGGCUAACUGGCCACAUUCAACCUCCAUCAGCUGAAGCACAAUACACCUGCAAACCUAUGAGUCUGAGAAUAAAGGCUUGUUAUUGAAAGCCACUAAGAUUUGGGGUGGUUUGUUAUCCAACAUUCUGAUGGCAACAGCAGUAAUAGAUCACCAGGUCUUUGUGAUUUUGCUUUUAAAUAAAUUCACUAAUUCUAAA